UACGAAGGGGGCGAGCGUUGUUCGGAAUUACUGGGCGUAAAGGGCGCGUAGGCGGCCGAUCAAGUCAGAUGUGAAAGUCCUGGGCUUAACCUGGGGACUGCAUUUGAUACUGAUUGGCUCGAAUUCGGGAGAGGAUAGCGGAAUUCCCAGUGUAGAGGUGAAAUUCGUAGAUAUUGGGAAGAACACCGGUGGCGAAGGCGGCUAUCUGGACCGACAUUGACGCUGAGGCGCGAAAGCGUGGGGAGCAAACAGG
rnacentral:rRNA from 1 species